rnacentral:rRNA from 1 species
GGGUUGUCUGCUGGCUCGCAAGGGCAUGUGCACGCCUGUCUCAUCCACUCUCAACUUCUGUGCACUUUUCAUAGGCCGGCUUGUGGGUGCGUUCGCGCACUUGUAGGUGUCGGGCUUAUGCUUUACUACAAACGAUUCAGUUUUAGAAUGUCAUACUUUGCUAUAACGCAAUUUAUAUACAACUUUCAGCAACGGAUCUCUUGGCUCUCGCAUCGAUGAAGAACGCAGCGAAAUGCGAUAAGUAAUGUGAAUUGCAGAAUUCAGUGAAUCAUCGAAUCUUUGAACGCACCUUGCGCUCCUUGGUAUUCCGAGGAGCAUGCCUGUUUGAGUCUCAUGGAAUUCUCAACCUUCGGCUUUAUUGACGAAGGCUUGGACUUGGAGGUCGUGCCGGCUCUCGUAGUCGGCUCCUCUGAAAUGCAUUAGUGCGAACGUUACCAGCCGCUUCAGCGUGAUAAUUAUCUGCGUUGCUGUGGAGGGUAUUCUAGUGUUCGCGCUUCUAACCGUCUUCGGACAAAUUUCUGAACUCUGAGCUCAAAUCAG